rnacentral:misc_RNA from 1 species
GUGAAUCAUCAAAUUUUUGAACGCAAAUUGCACUCUCUUCUGAUAGUAUGCCUGUUUGAGGUUCAGCCUAAAAAAAAUCUACAUAGUCGCUGUUUCGCGGUGUCAUUCUUCGGCCUUUGGGUCAUCUUAAACCUUUGAGUUUUAAGCGGCUUAAAAUUUUCUUUACGAUUCCACGAACGUUUCUAAGAUUUACUUCUUAUACGUUUGAGGUACCGAUCUUUAUUAGACGUUGCCGUUGCAUCCGAGC